rnacentral:rRNA from 1 species
UCAAGUGAUUUAAGGGCAUUUGGUGGAUGCCUUGGCAUGCACAGGCGAUGAAGGACGUGAUACGCUGCGAAAAGCCGUGGGGAGCUGCGAAUAAGCUUUGAUCCAUGGAUAUCCGAAUGGGGAAACCCACCUUAGAUAUCUAGAAAAUCAUUCCGGUUGGAAUGAUUUGUCUAGCAUUAAUUGAUCUCACGCCCCGUACCGCAGGUCUUCGACCUGCUGGGGCUGCGAUGGCGCGCCGCAUGAGCGGCGACGGCCGGUCGGCCUUGCGACGCGGAUGCGUCGAACUUUUUUCCCGCGAUAGUUUUGGAAAAGAGGCCUGAAGGAGCUUUGCUCCGGAGGCAAGCGCGACCGCGCGUCGGCCACGUUUGGCCGCCCCGUCCGGAGCGAAGCGAUCGAAGAUCGCGACAGCGUGAGGACAAGACAAAUCAAUCGGGUUGCCGAGCGGCAACCGGAAUGGUUUCUAGAUAUCGCUAUAAGGUAUCUUAACUUGAAUACAUAGGGUUAAGAAGCGAACGCGGGGAACUGAAACAUCUAAGUACCCGUAGGAAAGGACAUCAAUCGAGACUCCGCAAGUAGUGGCGAGCGAACGCGGAUGAGGCCAGUGGCAAUGAUGAAUAAAGCAGAACAGGUUGGGAAGCCUGGCGAGAUGGGUGAUAGCCCCGUAUGCGUAGAACAAUCAUUGUCCUUGAGUAGGGCGGGACACGUGAAAUCCUGUUCGAACAUGGGGCGACCACGCUCCAAGCCUAAGUACUCGUGCAUGACCGAUAGCGAACCAGUACCGUGAGGGAAAGGUGAAAAGCACCCCGACAAGGGGAGUGAAAGAGAACCUGAAACCGGAUGCCUACAAACAGUCGAAGCCCGCAAGGGUGACGGCGUACCUUUUGUAUAAUGGGUCAACGACUUAGUGUAUCUAGCAAGCUUAAGCCGGUAGGUGGAGGCGCAGCGAAAGCGAGUCUUAAUAGGGCGAUUGAGUUAGAUGCAUUAGACCCGAAACCGAGUGAUCUAGCCAUGAGCAGGUUGAAGGUUGGGUAACACCAACUGGAGGACCGAACCCGCAUCUGUUGCAAUAGAUUGGGAUGACUUGUGGCUAGGGGUGAAAGGCCAAUCAAACUCGGAGAUAGCUGGUUCUCCGCGAAAUCUAUUUAGGUAGAGCGUUGAAUGAAUACCUUCGGGGGUAGAGCACUGGAUGGGCUAUGGGGACUCACCGUCUUACUGAUCCUAACCAAACUGCGAAUACCGAAGAGUACUGUUCAGCAGACACACGGCGGGUGCUAACGUCCGUCGUGAAAAGGGCAACAACCCUGACCUCCAGCUAAGGUCCCCAAGUCAUGGCUAAGUGGGAAAGGAUGUGAGGAUCCCAAAACAACCAGGAUGUUGGCUUAGAAGCAGCCAUCAUUUAAAGAAAGCGUAACAGCUCACUGGUCUAAAUAAGGGUCUUUGCGCCGAAAAUGUACCGGGGCUCAAGCCAUGCACCGAAGCUGAGGAUGUGGAUUUAUCCACGUGGUAGCGGAGCGUUCCGUAGGCUGAUGAAGGGAUACCCGUGAGGGGUCCUGGAGGUAUCGGAAGUGCGAAUGUUGACAUGAGUAACGAUAAAGAGGGUGAGAGACCCUCUCGCCGAAAGACCAAGGGUUCCUGCUUAAAGUUAAUCUGAGCAGGGUUAGCCGGCCCCUAAGACGAGGCGGAAACGCGUAGUCGAUGGGAACCACGUUAAUAUUCGUGGGCCAGGCGGUGGUGACGGAUUGCACAAAUCGUACAUUCUUAUUGGAUUGAGUGUGCGGUGGAGCGGUUCCAGGAAAUAGCCCCGUCGUGAGACCGUACCCGAAACCGACACAGGUGGUCAGGUAGAGUAUACCAAGGCGCUUGAGAGAACUGCGUUGAAGGAACUCGGCAAAUUGCACGCGUAACUUCGGAAGAAGCGUGACCCUUUGAUACGCAAGUAUCGGAGGGUGGCACAGACCAGGGGGUAGCGACUGUUUAUCAAAAACACAGGGCUCUGCGAAGUCUUUAAGACGACGUAUAGGGUCUGACGCCUGCCCGGUGCUGGAAGGUUAAGAGGAGAUGUGCAAGCAUUGAAUCGAAGCCCCAGUAAACGGCGGCCGUAACUAUAACGGUCCUAAGGUAGCGAAAUUCCUUGUCGGGUAAGUUCCGACCUGCACGAAUGGCGUAACGACUUCCCCGCUGUCUCCAACGCAGACUCAGUGAAAUUGAAUUCCCCGUGAAGAUGCGGGGUUCCUGCGGUCAGACGGAAAGACCCCGUGCACCUUUACUAUAGCUUUACACUGGCAUUCGCCAAGGCAUGUGUAGGAUAGGUGGUAGGCUUUGAAGCAGGGACGCCAGUUCUUGUGGAGCCAUCCUUGAAAUACCACCCUUAUCUUCGUGGAUGUCUAACCGCGAUCCGUCAUCCGGAUCCGGGACAGUGUAUGGUGGGUAGUUUGACUGGGGCGGUCGCCUCCUAAAGAGUAACGGAGGCGCGCGAUGGUGGGCUCAGACCGGUCGGAAAUCGGUCGUCGAGUGCAAUGGCAUAAGCCCGCCUGACUGCGAGACUGACAAGUCGAGCAGAGACGAAAGUCGGUCAUAGUGAUCCGGUGGUCCCGCGUGGAAGGGCCAUCGCUCAACGGAUAAAAGGUACGCCGGGGAUAACAGGCUGAUGACCCCCAAGAGUCCAUAUCGACGGGGUUGUUUGGCACCUCGAUGUCGGCUCAUCGCAUCCUGGGGCUGGAGCAGGUCCCAAGGGUUUGGCUGUUCGCCAAUUAAAGCGGUACGUGAGCUGGGUUCAGAACGUCGUGAGACAGUUCGGUCCCUAUCUGCCGUGGGUGUAGGAAUAUUGACAGGAUCUGUCCCUAGUACGAGAGGACCGGGAUGGACGUAUCUCUGGUGGACCUGUUGUGGCGCCAGCCGCAUAGCAGGGUAGCUAUAUACGGAAUGGAUAACCGCUGAAGGCAUCUAAGCGGGAAACCAACCUGAAAACGAGUGUUCCCUAUCAGAGCCGUUGUAGACGACAACGUUGAUAGGCCGGGUGUGGAAGCGCAGCAAUGUGUGAAGCUUACCGGUACUAAUCGCUCGAUUGGCUUGAUCGU